rnacentral:rRNA from 1 species
AUUGAACGCUGGCGGAAUGCUUUACACAUGCAAGUCGAACGAUGAACCUUAGCUUGCUAAGGGGAUUAGUGGCGAACGGGUGAGUAAUAUAUCGGAACGUGCCUUGUAAUGGGGGAUAACUAGUCGAAAGAUUAGCUAAUACCGCAUACGCCCUGAGGGGGAAAGUAGGGGAUCUUCGGACCUUACGUUAUAAGAGCGGCCGAUAUCUGAUUAGCUAGUUGGUGGGGUAAUGGCCUACCAAGGCGACGAUCAGUAGCUGGUCUGAGAGGACGACCAGCCACACUGGAACUGAGACACGGUCCAGACUCCUACGGGAGGCAGCAGUGGGGAAUUUUGGACAAUGGGCGCAAGCCUGAUCCAGCCAUGCCGCGUGAGUGAAGAAGGCCUUCGGGUUGUAAAGCUCUGUCGCAAGGGAAGAAAACUUACCAUCGAAUAAAUGGUGAGGCUGACGGUACCUUGAUAAGAAGCACCGGCUAACUACGUG